CAGCAGCCGCGGGAAUACAGAGGUCUCAAGCGUUGUUCGGAUUCAUUGGGCGUAAAGGGUGCGUAGGCGGUCGGGUAAGUCGGAUGUGAAAUCCUGGGGCUCAACCUCAGAACUGCAUUCGAUACUGCUUGGCUAGAGGACUGGAGAGGAGACUGGAAUUCACGGUGUAGCAGUGAAAUGCGUAGAUAUCGUGAGGAAGACCAGCGGCGAAGGCGGGUCUCUGGACAGUUCCUGACGCUGAUGCACGAAGGCCAGGGGAGCAAACGGGAUUAGAUACCCCAGUAGUCCCUGUCUCUUAUAC
rnacentral:rRNA from 1 species